rnacentral:lncRNA from 1 species
ACCAUUUUUAUGGUCGGGCGUCCACGGCUGAUUGGUAUAUCAAAUCAAACACAAGGGUGUAUAUCAUGCCCCUGAGUGUUCACGCCUCACUGGGUGGUCACGUAAUAAGGUGUGGCACCAGCAUCUCGGGUUACAAUUUGAUAUUAAUUCAAGUACUCCACUGAUAAUGUACAUAGGUAGUUAACUUAAUUACAUUCAGUUUUGUCCGACAAGGAGCGAGUUUACUUUUUUUUAGACACAGACUUUGUAACAGGCUCUUCCCCUGGAAACACAUAUAUUGUAAAUAAAUAUUUUGCCGUUUCCAUCAACUUUAUCACGUGAUGUUCUAUAACUGUUGUCUUGUACACUAUCCAUAGUGUAAGUCAGCUGGCUCGAGGAAUUUUCAUAUAGUAUUAUCAUUAAACAACAUACCCUAUGCAACAGUUAUGUUGCUACCCAGACAAAACUAUUUUUAUAUUCUAUGUUAAAUGUAAACGAUCAGUUUUUAUUAUAAAUACAAAACCACCUUUUAAGCGGUAAUACCUAUCACGCAUUAAACAACAUAUAUGAACAACCAUGUGAUUAUAAAGUCUCACGUUGGUUCCUCCGUGCAACUUCAUGCCUGACUUACAUUCAUAUUGUUCUUUCACCACACUUACGCUUCUCCAAAUUUAGAAAGAAGCUGUGUACACAGUGUUCUUGCGAGUUACAAUAACGCGUCCGGUUUGGCGGCAACUUCAAAGAGUGGACAUAUGGUUGCUCCUUCAGGUAGCUAUAAUUACCCUCUCUAUAAUGCAAUAUCGUAUUAUCCAUUUGUAAUGAAUGAUAGUAACACUAAAUCGGAUUGGAUUCAGUUAAAUCUACAUUUCUCAAGGUCUCUAACAUCGAGAUUUGAAAUAUCUUUCAUGUAAAUACCUUCUUUGUCAUGUGACUUGUAUAUAUUCAGAAUCGUACCUACGAACAAUGUAUUUGAACAAUGGCACAAGCAACGUGGUCUCUUUCUGUAAAACAUAGCACUCUUUAUUUCAGCCACAGCAAAGAUCCCGAACCACGUGCAGUCAGCAGAGUUACAGCGUCUUGUUACCGUCUUGCAGUUACGAUACAGAAUAUGUGCACAUAGCUUUCAAUGACCAGACGAAAAAAAGAAUUCAUUUCAAGUAUGUUGAGAAGAAAACGACCCAUCUCUGAAAAAAUCACCUCACCCAAGAAAAUACGACUCAUUCAUGAGAAUGAAAAGUGCAAAGUCUCCCAAGAAAUUGUCUUGUAAUAUAGCAUGUGAAUAAAUAAUUUUUUGAAAUAU